rnacentral:misc_RNA from 1 species
AAGUCGUAACAAGGUUUCCGUAGGAAACCUGCGGAAGGAUCAUUAACACGUAUCCAACGUUAAAACCUGAACCUACAGCCCUAUUCUUGUGCGCCCGUUCGGACAGCGAUCCCUAGCAAAUCAUUGUUGAACAGAGUUUGAUUUAGGGACCUCUGUACGGAAGGACUGCGGUUUGCGUCCAAGAGUGGUAGCGCAAGCAUCCUGGUGCCUUUUAGACGCGUUAUCGAGUGGAAGCGACGAUAACGUUACCGUGUGUCACGGUAACGUGUCAACGAGUUGACUCCUAAACACGUUUGCUCGAGGUCCAUAUGACCGGCAACCGGGAUCCAGGCCGAAAGGUCCCUAGAAUUUAGCGUGCACCUAACGGUCGUACGCACCCCCACACUGAAGAACUGUUAACAGUGGAUAUCUUGGUUCUC